rnacentral:rRNA from 1 species
AUGGCGUCGAUCUCGAGCCCGCUGCCGGUGGCCUGGUACCCCGCGCUAGCCGUCCUCACGGUCGCCGUCGGCCUCAUGCUCACCGCCUCCUUCUUCAUUUAUGAAGCGACCGUAUCCACGCGCAGCCGAAGCUUAGCCAAGGAGCUCACCACCGCAGCUGUUGCUUCCGUUUUUCUGGGUUUUGGAUCUCUUUUUGUUCUCCUGGCAAGUGGUGUUUAUGUCUGA